rnacentral:rRNA from 1 species
AACGAACGCUGGCGGCAUGCCUAACACAUGCAAGUCGAACGAGACCUUCGGGUCUAGUGGCGCACGUGUGCGUAACGCGUGGGAACCUGCCCUUAGGUUCGGAAUAACUCCCCGAAAGGGGUGCUAAUACCGGAUAAUGUCUUCGGACCAAAGAUUUAUCGCCUUUGGAUGGGCCCGCGUUGGAUUAGCUAGUUGGUAGGGUAAAAGCCUACCAAGGCGACGAUCCAUAGCUGGUCUGAGAGGAUGAUCAGCCACACUGGGACUGAGACACGGCCCAGACUCCUACGGGAGGCAGCAGUGGGGAAUAUUGGACAAUGGGCGAAAGCCUGAGCCAGCAAUGCCGCGUGAGUGAUGAAGGCCUUAGGGUUGUAAAGCUCUUUUAACCGGGAUGAUAAUGACAGUACCGGGAGAAUAAGCUCCGGCUAACUCCGUG